UUCGCAAUGCCCGAAAGGGUGACGAAGCGACGCCGCGUGGGUGAGGAAGGCCCUCGGGUUGUAAAGCCCUGUCAGGAGUUAAGAAAUGUAAGUGCGCUAAUAUCGCAUUUAUUUGACGAAGGCUCCAAAGGAAGCCACGGCUAACUCUGUGCCAGCAGCCGCGGUAAUACAGAGGUGGCAAGCGUUGUUCAGAAUUAUUGGGCGUAAAGAGCACGUAGGUGGUUUUGUAAGUCAGAUGUGAAAGCCUUCUGUUCAACGGAAGAAUUGCAUCUGAAACUACAAGUCUUGAGUGUAGGAGGGGAGAAUGGAACUUCUGGUGGAGCGGUGAAAUGCGUAGAUAUCAGAAGGAACGCCGGCGGCGAAAGCGAUUCUCUGGCCUAUUACUGACACUCAGUGUGCGAAAGCUAGGGGAGCAAACGGGAUUAGAUACCCCGGUAGUCCUAGCCGUAAACGAUGGGCACUAAGUAGAGGGGUUUU
rnacentral:rRNA from 1 species